rnacentral:rRNA from 1 species
UACGUAGGGGGCAAGCGUUGUCCGGAAUCAUUGGGCGUAAAGCGCGUGUAGGCGGCCCGGUAAGUCCGCUGUAAAAGUCCAGGGCUCAACCCUGGAACGCCGGUGGAUACUGUCGGGCUAGAGUCCGGAAGAGGCGAGUGGAAUUCCUGGUGUAGCGGUGGAAUGCGCAGAUAUCAGGAGGAACACCGAUGGCGAAGGCAGCUCGCUGGGACGGUACUGACGCUGAGGCGCGAAAGCGUGGGGAGCGAACAGG